rnacentral:rRNA from 1 species
UAACGCGUGGAUAACCUGCCGUAUACAGGGGGAUAACACUUAGAAAUAGGUGCUAAUACCGCAUAAGCGCACAGCUUUGCAUGAAGCAGUGUGAAAAGCAAAAAGUUAAAACUUUUGACGGUAUACGAUGGAUCCGCGUCUGAUUAGCCAGUUGGCGGGGUAACGGCCCACCAAAGCGACGAUCAGUAGCCGGCCUGAGAGGGCGGACGGCCACAUUGGGACUGAGACACGGCCCAGACUCCUACGGGAGGCAGCAG